CUCAGCACUGGAAGAUGGUGAAACCUUGACAAGUCAGGGCCUGGUGGGCGGCCCCUGGAACAAUGAGGCAUGCUCUUGUGGAGGCAGGGCAGGCCCAAAGCUAUGGGACCAUGUGAUCAUGGAUAGGAACCUCCAAAACUUGGAGCUACACAAACCUUUUCUUUCUAGUGAUGGAAAUUUGGCCACCACAGUUCGCCCCUAGAUGCCCUUCGUCCUGAAAACCCUCCUCUGAAGAACAUAUCGGCCAGGGCCAAACCUGUCCAUCAGACCGCCAGGCCAAGCCACUCUGCUACCUGCCAUCUCUGGAAGAGGGGUCUAACUCUGGCAUACAGCAGACGCUCAAGCAAAGCCUGCUCAAUGAAUACAAGCAUCUACCUUGUGACUAGACUGUUCACCACUUCACUUAGGGUACCACACUCACCAUGGGGACCUGGCAAAGGACUGGCAAGCCUUGGCACCAGGAACUCUACCUCAAGGGCCAACACUUGCCCAGACACCAAAACCGUAUCACCCACUAAAGAGGCUCAGGUCUCCUGACCCUGAAGCUAUUUAGAAAGCAGUGAAGUCACAAAUCCACCAUCUCUAUUCAUCUAUAAGAACAGAUGUAUCUGGGCACUCAAGGGGACAUGGGAUUAUUACAAAGAGGAGAGGGUAGCAGCCCUCUGCAAAGAAAAGGUCCAACAGGCUGAAGGAGGAACCUGUGAGGACUGAGGCCUGGGCCACCAGGAGUGCAGACUGCAAGCCCAAAGGAGAGGCCAGCAACACAGAGAGGGGCAGCUGGAGGCAGAGUAGAUGAUGCUUUGGAAGAUGGGUGACCAUCAGCCUGGUGGGACCCCAACCCAGAUGCAGAGACGUGGGGGUUCUCACCUCCCACCUGUGGCACUGGACCAGAUGCCCGCUUGGAGGAGGAGAACAGAUCCUGCCAACAGAGAAGCUGCUGAACAAGGGUGAUAAAAACACGCAAAGCCAGACAUGAAGCUGCUGCCACACCAUCCUCUAGCUGACUGUCACAUCUUUAGCUGUCUGUGACUUUGGGACAGGGCACUGCAAGUCUCCCUCUGCAACAGAGACUGGGCAGGCAGUGCCCCCCUCCUCUCCCAACACCUGCAAUGUGAUAAUAGGCCAGAGCUUGUCAGCACUGAGCCCGCUGGGACAAUGAAGAGGACAGUGGGAGUCUCAGUGGUGCCAGCCAGCAGCAUAGUAGGGGGACCACAGCAAGAGGCAGACAGAGUCAGAAACAGCUCCACAGUCAUGCUGUUAAUUAUCCAGCCUCUGGCCCCUAGCUGUAGACGAAUUUCUAAACAGUCUUAUAAAAUAAGAAACACAGAGCCAAAUACAGGGGUGAAAGCCAUGGAGAUCAGAGAAGUAAGAAUAGCCACCAACUAACCUUAGCUCACCACACCGCUGUCGCUUCCCAAGAGAACCGAACCAGCAUCUUCCUGUCUAACCUGUGCCUUUAUUGCUACCACCACCUGUCUUUGUUUAUGGCUAGCUGUGUCCUCUGAUCUCCAGGCAAACUUUAUUUAUUGACGUACAAAUAAAAUAUCACCACACCUA